AGUGAACGCUGGCGGUAGGCCUAACACAUGCAAGUCGAACGGCAGCACAGUAAGAGCUUGCUCUUACGGGUGGCGAGUGGCGGACGGGUGAGGAAUACAUCGGAAUCUACUUUUUCGUGGGGGAUAACGUAGGGAAACUUACGCUAAUACCUCAUACGACCUACGGGUUAAAGCAGGGGAUCUUCGGACCUUGCGCGAUUGAAUGAGCCGAUGUCGGAUUAGCUAGUUGGCGGGGUAAAGGCCCACCAAGGCGACGAUCCGUAGCUGGUCUGAGAGGAUGAUCAGCCACACUGGAACUGAGACACGGUCCAGACUCCUACGGGAGGCAGCAGUGGGGAAUAUUGGACAAUGGGCGCAAGCCUGAUCCAGCCAUACCGCGUGGGUGAAGAAGGCCUUCGGGUUGUAAAGCCCUUUUGUUGGGAAAGAAAAGCAGCAGGUUAAUACCCAGCUGUUCUGACGGUACCCAAAGAAUAAGCACCGGCUAACUUCGUG
rnacentral:rRNA from 1 species